GAGAAGUAUUAAUAACUGGCACAGUAUUCAAUUUUUAAAAAUGAUUACAUUAUAUUUUAAUAUUGCCCAUAGCCAUAUCGAAUAUUCUUUUUGACAUGGACACAAUAACAUGUUACCAUAGAUCCAUAUACAGGAGAAGAUUUUAUUCUAAACAAUUCUUAGAAAUCAACAUUCAUGUAAGACAGUACUGGUUCAAUAGUCAGUUAAACUGCCUUAGUUCCUGACUCUGUUCCUACCUACUGUGACUUUGGGAGAGGUGGUUCAAGAUGGCGGUGUAGGGAGAUCUUUACCUCACCUCCUUCCACGGACCCAACAAAUAGACAGCUACAUCUGGAACAAGUCCCUCUGAAAGGAACCUGAGAACUGGUUGAACACCUGAUCAACGAAGGAUCAAAGGACCACACUGAGACAGAAGACUUUAGAAUAAUUCCCUCAUCUUCUCACCACCAAACUUACCAGCUACCUGCAUCUGCACUCUGCCUUCCUCUUUCCUUCUGUGUUGGAAGAAGUGUCCCUUCUUUAAUCAAAGUUCUGGAAGCUGGAAAGCCAAAGAUCAAAGUUCAGUUUCAGCAUAAACUAUCCCCAACCAAAAUACUAAAGAGAAAGUCCUAGGAAAAAUCCUCAAUAUGGAUCAAAACUGUACUACUGCAGAUGGCAAAGAUUCUGUUCUCAGUAAGUAUGAGAUGCUUUAAAAAGAAAGUGGUAAAUGUAAUCUUACAAGAAGUAUGUGAAUGGGGCCCAGUCGUCUUAGAAAUAGUUCACUGCUUAGAGGUUGUACUAGUUGACAUUAGUUCUCAUUCACUAGUUCUGGUGGUCUAAAGCAUUAAAUGCACUUCUGCUUUGGGGAAAGGGAAUGGGUUAGAGGACAGAAUACUUAAGAAUAAAUACCUCAGAACUGAAUCUUUGUCCUUUCUUCUUCGUGAGUGGCAUCCAACCAUGCUGGAGAUAUUUGGCCAUGGAAACAGACUAUGCAUUUGUCCUAACUGCUUCUCAAAAAAGACUUGGAUACAUUACAGUGAGCAUUAUUUUUAAAAGAUUGAGGUACAGAAAUUUUUUGCUGGGGAUGGAAUUAAGGUACCCACAUUCCACUGUCCUGGGUAGGCAUUAGCCCACUCCUACAUUAUGGGAAGCUGUGGGAAUCUUCAGGUCUUUUCCCCUCUUUUCUUUAUGCCUUAGUUGAAAUUACACAGUGUCUAAGUUUAUUUUGGCUUAUUUGUAUGUUUCCAUAAUUAAGUUUGUUCAUCCAUAAAAUGGCAAUAAUAAUACCAUAUACUCCACAGGGAAUUUUGAAGAUAAAAUGAGAUUAAACCAGUUACAGCAAUUAGAAUUAGCCAGAACAGUUUAAACACUCAAUAAGUAUCGGCUGUUAUUAUUCAUUAUUCACUUAUGCGAUGCAUAUUUGUUAACCACAGGUCAUGUUCAGGGUGCUAUGUUGAUGUGGCACUCUUUUAUUUAUUAUUCAACUAAUAUUUACUGAGCACAUGUGAUAACUUGGGUACUUUACUAGAUGUUGGGGACACAGCAAUGAUUAAAACGAGGUUCAGGACCCCAUGUAUUUUAUAGUACAAGGGGAAUGAGAGAUGAUAAACAAAUAUAGAAUAUAGAAUAUAAUAUUAAGAAGCGAGGCUCUGAAAGAUAAAUUAUAUAUAAUACAGUGGUAAACAAAAUAGACAGACCUAACACUCACUAUUAAACUUUGGACAAAAUAAAGACAAAUGUGGGAGUUUAAAAUUAGGGGAUGGAGUAGUUAAAGUUAGGGGAUAGAGGUAAUCAAGGUCCAAGAAGUAGCUAUGGGUAUGGUGAUUGAAAUGAUGUUUGUGUGGCAGGGGAAGGUAUGGGGGAGGGAGGGUUCACUGAGGCUGCAAAGGCCAAGAAUCUGAGAACUUGGGAGUUGAAUGGCUCAUCCAUACAUAUACUGAUUUGACACUGAUCUAUAACCUGGGAAAUCUCUGGACCAGAACCUCCUUAAGU